CGUACGAAAGGGCAAAUCCAUUGAAAGAUGGUGGCGCAAAGCUAUAGGGGCUAAGGUUUAUCAACUAUGCCAGCCAGAUACCGAA
rnacentral:ncRNA from 1 species